AGCGAAUAGAUACCCGGGUAGUCCCAGCCGUAAACGAUGCUCGCUAGGUGUCAGACAUGGCGCGACCGUGUCUGGUGCCGCAGGGAAGCCGUGAAGCGAGCCACCUGGGAAGUACGGCCGCAAGGCUGAAACUUAAAGGAAUUGGCGGGGGAGCACAACAACGGGUGGAGCCUGCGGUUUAAUUGGACUCAACGCCGGACAACUCACCGGGGACGACAGCAAAAUGUAGGCCAGGCUGAAGACCUUGCCUGAAUCGCUGAGAGGAGGUGCAUGGCCGUCGCCAGUUCGUACUGUGAAGCAUCCUGUUAAGUCAGGCAACGAGCGAGACCCGUGCCCACUGUUACCAGCAUAUCCUCCGGGAUGAUGGGUACUCUGUGGGGACCGCCGGUGUUAAAUCGGAGGAAGGUGCGGGCCACGGUAGGUCAGUAUGCCCCGAAUUUCCGGGCUACACGCGGGCUACAAUGAAUGGGACAAUGGGUCCUACCCCGAAAGGGUUGGUAAUCUCACAAACCCAUCCGUAGUUCGGACCGAGGGCUGUAACUCGCCCU
rnacentral:rRNA from 1 species